GAUGAACGCUGGCGGCGUGCCUAAUACAUGCAAGUCGAGCGAACGGACGAGAAGCUUGCUUCUCUGAUGUUAGCGGCGGACGGGUGAGUAACACGUGGAUAACCUACCUAUAAGACUGGGAUAACUUCGGGAAACCGGAGCUAAUACCGGAUAAUAUUUUGAACCGCAUGGUUCAAAAGUGAAAGACGGUCUUGCUGUCACUUAUAGAUGGAUCCGCGUUGCAUUAGCUAGUUGGUAAGGUAACGGCUUAUCAAGGCAACGAUGCAUAGCCGACCUGAGAGGGUGAUCGGCCACACUGGAACUGAGACACGGUCCAGACUCCUACGGGAGGCAGCAGUAGGGAAUCUUCCGCAAUGGGCGAAAGCCUGACGGAGCAACGCCGCGUGGGUGAUGAAGGUCUUCGGAUCGUAAAACUCUGUUAUUAGGGAAGAACAUAUGUGUAAGUAACUGUGCACAUCUUGACGGUACCUAAUCAGAAAGCCACGGCUAACUACGUG
rnacentral:rRNA from 1 species